rnacentral:tRNA from 1 species
GGGACUGUAGCUCAGUUGGUUAGAGCACUGCUCUGAUAAGGCAGGGGUCAAAAGUUCAAAUCUUUUCAGUCCCACCA